ACGCGAAGAACCUUACCUGGUCUUGACAUCCACAGAACUUUCCAGAGAUGGAUUGGUGCCUUCGGGAACUGUGAGACAGGUGCUGCAUGGCUGUCGUCAGCUCGUGUUGUGAAAUGUUGGGUUAAGUCCCGCAACGAGCGCAACCCUUAUCCUUUGUUGCCAGCGGUCCGGCCGGGAACUCAAAGGAGACUGCCAGUGAUAAACUGGAGGAAGGUGGGGAUGACGUCAAGUCAUCAUGGCCCUUACGACCAGGGCUACACACGUGCUACAAUGGCGCAUACAAAGAGAAGCGACCUCGCGAGAGCAAGCGGACCUCAUAAAGUGCGUCGUAGUCCGGAUUGGAGUCUGCAACUCGACUCCAUGAAGUCGGAAUCGCUAGUAAU
rnacentral:rRNA from 2 species